UACGUAGGGGGCGAGCGUUGUCCGGAAUUAUUGGGCGUAAAGCGCGUGUAGGCGGCCAGAUAGGUCUGCUGUGAAAACUCGAGGCUCAACCUCGAGCUGUCGGCGGAAACCAUCCGGCUAGAGUCCGGAAGAGGAGAGUGGAAUUCCCGGUGUAGCGGUGAAAUGCGCAGAUAUCGGGAAGAACACCUGUGGCGAAGGCGGCUCUCUGGGACGGUACUGACGCUGAGACGCGAAAGCGUGGGGAGCGAACAGG
rnacentral:rRNA from 1 species